rnacentral:rRNA from 1 species
GUGAAAUUGUUGAAAGGGAAACGGUUGAAGUCAUUCAUGCCGGCAGGAAUCAACUUAGGGGAAACUCUGAGUGCACUUCUUCGCUUGGCAGGUUAGCGUCGAUUUUGGAUGUCAUAAAAUGACUGGGAAGGUAGCUUUUUCGGGAGUGUUAAGCCCUUGGUAGAUGUGAUGUCUGGGAUUGAGGAUUGCAACGGAUACCUUUUGGGCUAACCGCCUAGUCUCUAAUACGAAGUUGGGUUACGGACAGCAUGCUGACUGUGAUCUGAUUUUUGGUUAAAAGAUUAGAGCGAGUGUAAAUUCGUUAAGGGCACUGACGUAAUGGCUUUAAACGAC